UACGUAGGUGGCAAGCGAUACUCGGAAUCACUAGGCGUAAAGCGCAGGUAGGCGGUUUGGUAAGUCUUUUGUGAAAGCUCCCGGCUCAACUGGGAGAGGUCAAGGGAAACUACCGGACUAGAGUGUGGUAGGGGAUACUGGAAUUCCUGGUGUAGCGGUGAAAUGCGCAGAUAUCAGGAGGAACACCGGUGGCGAAGGCGGGUCUCUGGGCCAAUACUGACGCUGAGGAGCGAAAGCGUGGGGAGCGAACAGG
rnacentral:rRNA from 1 species